AUACGGAGGGUGCAAGCGUUACUCGGAAUCACUGGGCGUAAAGCUCGCGCAGGCGGCUUGAUAAGUUGGAUGUGAAAGCCUACUGCUCAACCGUAGAACUGCAUCCAAAACUGUCAAGCUAGAGUCUGGGAGGGGAAGAUGGAAUUAGUUGUGUAGGGGUACAAUCCGUAGAGAUAACUAGGAAUACCAAAAGCGAAGGCGAUCUUCUGGAACAGUACUGACGCUGAGGCGCGAAAGCGUGGGGAGCAAACAGGAUUAGAAACCCCGGUAGUCC
rnacentral:rRNA from 1 species